AACGGACGCUGGCGGCAGGCUUAACACAUGCAAGUCGAGCGCCCCGCAAGGGGAGCGGCAGACGGGUGAGUAACGCGUGGGAACGUGCCCUUUGCUACGGAAUAGCUCCGGGAAACUGGAAUUAAUACCGUAUGAGCCCUUUGGGGGAAAGAUUUAUCGGCAAAGGAUCGGCCCGCGUUGGAUUAGCUAGUUGGUGGGGUAAAGGCCUACCAAGGCGACGAUCCAUAGCUGGUCUGAGAGGAUGAUCAGCCACAUUGGGACUGAGACACGGCCCAAACUCCUACGGGAGGCAGCAGUGGGGAAUAUUUGACAAUGGGCGCAAGCCUGAUCCAGCCAUGCCGCGUGAGUGAUGAAGGCCUUAGGGUUGUAAAGCUCUUUCACCGGAGAAGAUAAUGACGGUACCUGGGGAAUCAGCCCCGGCUAACUACAUGCCAGCCGCCGCGGUAAGAC
rnacentral:rRNA from 1 species